ensembl:snoRNA
UGCAGAUGAUGUCUAUUCUCACGAUGGUCUUCUGAGCCCUGGGCUCUGUGGAUAAUGCCUUAUGGCAUAGCUGAUGCAGUUUU